GCUGCGGCAGCGACACUAUGUGUUGUUGGGUAGGGGAGCGUUCUGUAAGCCUGUGAAGGUGGCCUGUGAGGGUUGCUGGAGGUAUCAGAAGUGCGAAUGCUGACAUAAGUAACGAUAAAGCGGGUGAAAAGCCCGCUCGCCGGAAGACCAAGGGUUCCUGUCCAACGUUAAUCGGGGCAGGGUGAGUCGACCCCUAAGGCGAGGCCGAAAGGCGUAGUCGAUGGGAAACAGGUUAAUAUUCCUGUACUUGGUGUUACUGCGAAGGGGGGACGGAGAAGGCUAUGUUGGCCGGGCGACGGUUGUCCCGGUUUAAGCGUGUAGGCUGGUUUUCCAGGCAAAUCCGGAAAACCAAGGCUGAGGCGUGAUGACGAGGCACUACGGUGCUGAAGCGACAAAUGCCCUGCUUCCAGGAAAAGCCUCUAAGCAUCAGGUAACAUCAAAUCGUACCCCAAACCGACACAGGUGGUCAGGUAGAGAAUACCAAGGCGCUUGAGAGAACUCGGGUGAAGGAACUAGGCAAAAUGGUGCCGUAACUUCGGGAGAAGGCACGCUGAUAUGUAGGUGAAGCGACUUGCUCGUGGAGCUGAAAUCAGUCGAAGAUACCAGCUGGCUGCAACUGUUUAUUAAAAACACAGCACUGUGCAAACACGAAAGUGGACGUAUACGGUGUGACGCCUGCCCGGUGCCGGAAG
rnacentral:rRNA from 1 species